AGUGAACGCUGGCGGUAGGCCUAACACAUGCAAGUCGAACGGCAGCACAGUAAGAGCUUGCUCUUACGGGUGGCGAGUGGCGGACGGGUGAGGAAUACAUCGGAAUCUACUUUUUCGUGGGGGAUAACGUAGGGAAACUUACGCUAAUACCGCAUACGACCUACGGGUGAAAGCAGGGGAUCUUCGGACCUUGCGCGAUUGAAUGAGCCGAUGUCGGAUUAGCUAGUUGGCGGGGUAAAGGCCCACCAAGGCGACGAUCCGUAGCUGGUCUGAGAGGAUGGUCGGCCACCCUGGAGCUUGGACACGGUCCAGACUCCUACGGGAGGCAGCAGUGGGGAAUAUUGGACAAUGGGCGCAAGCCUGAUCCAGUCAUACCGCGUGGGUGAAGAAGGCCUUCGGGUUGUAAAGCCCUUUUGUUGGGAAAGAAAAGCAGCAGGUUAAUACCCCGCGGUUCUGACGGUACCCAAAGAAUAAGCACCGGCUAACUUCGUG
rnacentral:rRNA from 1 species